UACUUGGUCAAAGCUCCUCAGUGUUGGAUAGAUGCCUGAGAGGUUCUGAACAAGUAUA
rnacentral:pre_miRNA from 1 species